GUGAGAAGCCCUAGUGGGUCAGCUCUUGCCAUAAGAACAAGAGGGAAACAAGGAGAGAAAGAGGCUCAUAAUGAUGUCAGAACUCGGGGAACAGAGGAUUUGGAGACAGAGAUCGAGGGCAGAACCAAGUCUAGAGCAUGGAAGUCACAGGAAGAAAAUUGGCAUGUAAUGCAGGAAAGCACUUUCCUACAGGAAGAGGUGCUGGAGAUGCAGCGGAUCUCCUUGAGAAGUCUUGAGCAUCCCACCUUUGAAGAUUGUUGAAUCCCAUAGAAGUCUGAGCUAUGGAUAGAGGGAGGAACCAAGACCCAGAGAGGUGAGAAGACUCAUCAGCACAACGUGGCAAAAAAAUACCACUUGGAACUGAUCCCCAGAUCGCUGGCCCUGAACUGUAUGCUCUUAUGGCCACAAAAAUCAACCACAUACCAAGAGGCUGGAAAUGGAGCCCUU